rnacentral:lncRNA from 1 species
AGGACGACCUUGUAGUGAGGUGUGAGAUGAUCGUUGGGUUGAUGACUAUUGGAGUUGAGGGCCAAGUAUCCUAAAGUUCAGCAGUAGCAAACCCUAUUCCAGGCAAAUGUGAGCAUCUUCUCCUUAACCAGAUGUCUAGCCCUGCAGAGGACGGCCUUGUAGUGAGGUGUGAGAUGAUCGUUGAUGAAUAUUGGAGUUGAGGGCCAAGUAUACUAAAGUUCAGCAGUA